GACGAACGCUGGCGGCGUGCUUAACACAUGCAAGUCGAACGGAAAGGCCCUGCUUGCAGGGUACUCGAGUGGCGAACGGGUGAGUAACACGUGGGUGAUCUGCCCUGCACUUCGGGAUAAUCCUGGGAAACUGGGUCUAAUACCGGAUAGGAGCCAUUUUUAGUGUGAUGGUUGGAAAGUUUUUUCGGUGUAGGAUGAGCUCGCGGCCUAUCAGCUUGUUGGGGGGGUAAUGGCCUACCAAGGCGGCGACGGGUAGCCGGCCUGAGAGGGUGGACGGCCACAUUGGGACUGAGAUACGGCCCAGACUCCUACGGGAGGCAGCAGUGGGGAAUAUUGCACAAUGGGCGCAAGCCUGAUGCAGCGACGCCGCGUGGGGGAUGACGGCCUUCGGGUUGUAAACUCCUUUCGCUAGGGACGAAGCUUUUUGUGACGGUACCUAGAUAAGAAGCACCGGCUAACUACGUG
rnacentral:rRNA from 1 species